rnacentral:rRNA from 1 species
UACGAAGGGGGCUAGCGUUGUUCGGAAUCACUGGGCGUAAAGCGCGCGUAGGCGGAUCGUUAAGUCAGGGGUGAAAUCCCGAGGCUCAACCUCGGAACUGCCUUUGAUACUGGCGAUCUGGAGUCCGGGAGAGGUGAGUGGAACUCCUAGUGUAGAGGUGAAAUUCGUAGAUAUUCGGAAGAACACCAGUGGCGAAGGCGACUUACUGGACACAUAUUGACGCUGAGGUGCGAAAGCGUGGGGAGCAAACAGG